UCAGUGGCUGAGAUCAGGGAGCAUUCUGCAAAACAUAGAAGACUUCAUAAUCUGCUGUAACACCUACCUUUUUUCCUGCAUCAUCUUCCCGUUCCCUGUUUGUCGCUUAUUUCAUCUGUUUGCUUGCUUGCUUGCUUAUCUAAUAAUCAGAGCCUUGAAGUCCUUCCUGCUGCUGCAAGGACCUCUUACCUCCCAUUUAUGCUGCAAGUUUGCUUCAGAUCUUGAGAAAUCUCCCAUCACUAUGUACUCUGAUAUCUUCACAGCUUUUACUUUUUAAGACAUAAGUAAUCCUUUCAGUUGUGCCGAGCUUGAAUUUUCUGCCAUGUGUGUUCAAGAAUUUCAUCUCUGUUUAUAUUAUGCCAUUAAUUUCUACAAGUUGUGGUCUUCCAUCUCUGCUGUUCUUCCAUGGUGUUUCACAGCUAUCUCAGAGAUGAGAGACAUCUUUUAAGACUGAGCCAUGUUUACAUGGUGUCAUGCAUAUUUCUGCACUCUUGUCAUAUAUAACAUGGCAUGCAGCUUGCCCCAUGAUACGUAGCUUACUUUUUCCUGGUGAGAAAAGAGGCAGAGGACUGUGUAGUGACUAGGUUUGAUGUCCAGUAAACUCUGCUUCUAGUAUGCAUCUCUAAAGCACGUAGUGAAGCUGAGGCACUGCUUUUAAAUUACUGGGAGUUAGCACCGGUCCUACAUUUGAGGUCCUGUUUCUGUGGAGGGUUAAAAACCAAAUUGCUCAGCAGUGAGGCCAACAGCAGAGACUAUGCUGGAAACCACUGAGCUCACAGGACUUGAGCCCAUGGAGACGGGGCCAGAAGAACUAACGUGUGCGAGGAGCUCUCCUGGGACAGCAGCAAAGGAGUCUAGCAGACAUGAGAAUAAAUCAAGAGUUUAGAAGCUAUUUGAGGGGGGAAGGUAAAUAAAUGAAACCCUUUGACUCCUUUCACUUGCCUACACUUCCAGUUGCAUCACCUGAUGAAUUCUUAUUCUAAAAUACAGAUACAUGACUUCAGCCAAAUUAAAAGACAUACAAAUAUAUACUUAAUGA